UUAAGCGACUAAGCGUACACGGUGGAUGCCCUGGCAGUCAGAGGCGAUGAAGGACGUGCUAAUCUGCGAUAAGCGUCGGUAAGGUGAUAUGAACCGUUAUAACCGGCGAUUUCCGAAUGGGGAAACCCAGUGUGUUUCGACACACUAUCAUUAACUGAAUCCAUAGGUUAAUGAGGCGAACCGGGGGAACUGAAACAUCUAAGUACCCCGAGGAAAAGAAAUCAACCGAGAUUCCCCCAGUAGCGGCGAGCGAACGGGGAGCAGCCCAGAGCCUGAAUCAGUGUGUGUGUUAGUGGAAGCGUCUGGAAAGGCGCGCGAUACAGGGUGACAGCCCCGUACACAAAAAUGCACAUAUUGUGAGCUCGAUGAGUAGGGCGGGACACGUGGUAUCCUGUCUGAAUAUGGGGGGACCAUCCUCCAAGGCUAAAUACUCCUGACUGACCGAUAGUGAACCAGUACCGUGAGGGAAAGGCGAAAAGAACCCCGGCGAGGGGAGUGAAAAAGAACCUGAAACCGUGUACGUACAAGCAGUGGGAGCACCUUCGGGUGUGACUGCGUACCUUUUGUAUAAUGGGUCAGCGACUUAUAUUCUGUAGCAAGGUUAACCGAAUAGGGGAGCCGAAGGGAAACCGAGUCUUAACUGGGCGUUAAGUUGCAGGGUAUAGACCCGAAACCCGGUGAUCUAGCCAUGGGCAGGUUGAAGGUUGGGUAACACUAACUGGAGGACCGAACCGACUAAUGUUGAAAAAUUAGCGGAUGACUUGUGGCUGGGGGUGAAAGGCCAAUCAAACCGGGAGAUAGCUGGUUCUCCCCGAAAGCUAUUUAGGUAGCGCCUCGUGAAUUCAUCUCCGGGGGUAGAGCACUGUUUCGGCAAGGGGGUCAUCCCGACUUACCAACCCGAUGCAAACUGCGAAUACCGGAGAAUGUUAUCACGGGAGACACACGGCGGGUGCUAACGUCCGUCGUGAAGAGGGAAACAACCCAGACCGCCAGCUAAGGUCCCAAAGUCAUGGUUAAGUGGGAAACGAUGUGGGAAGGCCCAGACAGCCAGGAUGUUGGCUUAGAAGCAGCCAUCAUUUAAAGAAAGCGUAAUAGCUCACUGGUCGAGUCGGCCUGCGCGGAAGAUGUAACGGGGCUAAACCAUGCACCGAAGCUGCGGCAGCGACACUAUGUGUUGUUGGGUAGGGGAGCGUUCUGUAAGCCUGUGAAGGUGGCCUGUGAGGGUUGCUGGAGGUAUCAGAAGUGCGAAUGCUGACAUAAGUAACGAUAAAGCGGGUGAAAAGCCCGCUCGCCGGAAGACCAAGGGUUCCUGUCCAACGUUAAUCGGGGCAGGGUGAGUCGACCCCUAAGGCGAGGCCGAAAGGCGUAGUCGAUGGGAAACAGGUUAAUAUUCCUGUACUUGGUGUUACUGCGAAGGGGGGACGGAGAAGGCUAUGUUGGCCGGGCGACGGUUGUCCCGGUUUAAGCGUGUAGGCUGGUUUUCCAGGCAAAUCCGGAAAACCAAGGCUGAGGCGUGAUGACGAGGCACUACGGUGCUGAAGCAACAAAUGCCCUGCUUCCAGGAAAAGCCUCUAAGCAUCAGGUAACAUCAAAUCGUACCCCAAACCGACACAGGUGGUCAGGUAGAGAAUACCAAGGCGCUUGAGAGAACUCGGGUGAAGGAACUAGGCAAAAUGGUGCCGUAACUUCGGGAGAAGGCACGCUGAUAUGUAGGUGAAGCGACUUGCUCGUGGAGCUGAAAUCAGUCGAAGAUACCAGCUGGCUGCAACUGUUUAUUAAAAACACAGCACUGUGCAAACACGAAAGUGGACGUAUACGGUGUGACGCCUGCCCGGUGCCGGAAGGUUAAUUGAUGGGGUUAUCCGUAAGGAGAAGCUCUUGAUCGAAGCCCCGGUAAACGGCGGCCGUAACUAUAACGGUCCUAAGGUAGCGAAAUUCCUUGUCGGGUAAGUUCCGACCUGCACGAAUGGCGUAAUGAUGGCCAGGCUGUCUCCACCCGAGACUCAGUGAAAUUGAACUCGCUGUGAAGAUGCAGUGUACCCGCGGCAAGACGGAAAGACCCCGUGAACCUUUACUAUAGCUUGACACUGAACAUUGAGCCUUGAUGUGUAGGAUAGGUGGGAGGCUUUGAAGCGUGGACGCCAGUCUGCGUGGAGCCAACCUUGAAAUACCACCCUUUAAUGUUUGAUGUUCUAACGUUGGCCCGUAAUCCGGGUUGCGGACAGUGUCUGGUGGGUAGUUUGACUGGGGCGGUCUCCUCCUAAAGAGUAACGGAGGAGCACGAAGGUUGGCUAAUCCUGGUCGGACAUCAGGAGGUUAGUGCAAUGGCAUAAGCCAGCUUGACUGCGAGCGUGACGGCGCGAGCAGGUGCGAAAGCAGGUCAUAGUGAUCCGGUGGUUCUGAAUGGAAGGGCCAUCGCUCAACGGAUAAAAGGUACUCCGGGGAUAACAGGCUGAUACCGCCCAAGAGUUCAUAUCGACGGCGGUGUUUGGCACCUCGAUGUCGGCUCAUCACAUCCUGGGGCUGAAGUAGGUCCCAAGGGUAUGGCUGUUCGCCAUUUAAAGUGGUACGCGAGCUGGGUUUAGAACGUCGUGAGACAGUUCGGUCCCUAUCUGCCGUGGGCGCUGGAGAACUGAGGGGGGCUGCUCCUAGUACGAGAGGACCGGAGUGGACGCAUCACUGGUGUUCGGGUUGUCAUGCCAAUGGCACUGCCCGGUAGCUAAAUGCGGAAGAGAUAAGUGCUGAAAGCAUCUAAGCACGAAACUUGCCCCGAGAUGAGUUCUCCCUGACUCCUUGAGAGUCCUGAAGGAACGUUGAAGACGACGACGUUGAUAGGCCGGGUGUGUAAGCGCAGCGAUGCGUUGAGCUAACCGGUACUAAUGAACCGUGAGGCUUAACCUU
rnacentral:rRNA from 1 species